rnacentral:rRNA from 1 species
AUGAGAACUAAAGUAGAGAAACAAACUUGGUUUGAUAGCAUUUAUAAGGUAAAAGAGAAGCGGGCUGCAUGUUAUAUGAAGGAUGCAUUCACCUUGAGAAUGCGAAGUACACAACUAAGUGAAAGUUUGAACAAUGACCUCAAGCACCAUUUGAAAUCAGAUCUUGACGUGAUCCGUUUUUUCAAGCAUUUUGAAAGGGUUGUUCAAGGGAAAUGA